CGGGCGGUGGCGCAGUCUGGUAGCGUGCUUGUCUGGGGGACAAGUGGUCGCAGGUUCAAAUCCUGUCCGCCCGACCA
rnacentral:tRNA from 2 species